ensembl:lncRNA
UCAGCAGAGGAGAAUGCAGCUCCAGAAUGAUCUUCAGUCACAGCAGCGAAAUCAUCGCCUGAGCAGGGCAGCCUGGCUGCAGGGCCGCUGGUUGGAGAUCAGUGAGCAGGAGCGCAGGGCUCAGAUCAAGAACCAAAAGCUGCUGCAGGACUUUCAGAGAGCACAAGACAUGCUUAAUGACAUGGUGGCCCGCACCGAAGCCAUGAACUCUAUACGGGUCAGCUAACACACAAAACUUCCCUGCCUUCCAUACAUGCAUCGUCAGAAUUUUUUUUUACUUUUCGAGGCUUGUCAGUUAUAAGAGCAGAACUGUCAAAUAAAUGACAUUAUAUCUGACAUUAUAAGUCACCCUGAAAUAAAAACAGAUUAAAGUUUUUGGUAAUUAGAAAACAACAACAAUACAAUGAUCUAAUUAGUUCCUGAAGGACAAAAUUAAAGUUCCACCCUACAUUGCUUUUUCUAAGAGUGUGCCUUCUAUUAUUAUCCAUUGAUAAGCAGAACCAUCAUAUGACAUGCAUUUGUCCUCUAAAACUUAGAGAUUAGGUUUUGCCAUUGCAUGUACAUGUUGUUGCUUAACUUAACUAACCUAGACAUUUUCUCUUUAAAAGGUUCAGUAUGAACAGCAUCUGGAAGAGAGCUUCCCACGAUGGCAACAAAGACUCAAAGACAUAAGAGUUUCUGAAAGGUCAAAGCAGGUACAGCAGCACUUAAAGAGCUAUAUUCAGACGAUGGAAAAGGAAGAAGGUAUCAAGUCUGAACACAGGUCUGACUUUAGAGGCCACCUGUCCUCCAAUUUUCCAGAUGCAUCUCAGCCUUCACACACCAUGCUAAACACUCAUCGGAAAGUGAAAGACAUCAAGCAAAAUCCUGAAAGAUGCAACCAUGAUCCUUACAUUCCACCCACUUGGUUAACUGGCUCACAGCCUUCAAUUUCCGGACUCCCCCAAAACAAUAUCGCAAAGGAUUACAAAAACCUUCAGAACAAUCAAACCUUAAAUAAUCCCUUGCCACCUUACUAUUCUUUACCUGGCGAUUUAGUCCAUCAGUCACAUUCUCCAGUCCAGCAAAAGCCACCAUCAAUGGACCAUCUGUGGGCUGGUAUAAGGCAAGAGUUUAUGCCUACAGCUCACUUCACUCCUCCUGCUGCUUCCCAGCCACGACUUCCUGUGCUGAACCCCAUGACGUGGGGUAUGAUGGAUGUACCAGACCCCAGUGAGGAAAGAAUCCAAUGCAGUGAGCCAGACAAGGAAAAGGUGACAAAAGCAAAACCAAAACACAGGAGGAAAGGGAAAGAGAGUGAUCGGUCUUCUGAGCUCGACUGUAGACCAGUGCGUCUAUCAAUCAACCAUGAAGAAAGUAGUGAAGGUAGCAAUGUGUCCUCUAAAGUUUCUGGGAUGCAAAAACGGAGAAAGAAAAAAACAGAUGGGACAAAAUCAAAUUCUACAGAAAAUAGGAAUGAAUCUCACGGCUCUUCCACUAUGUCACAAGAUGCUUCAGAUAGUAACUCGGGCACAAAAAUCAACCAAAAACAUCAAAAGAAAUUUAAUAAGUGCAACAGCAAAGAAUCCAUUAUCGCAGAGAAGACUGUUGAUGCAGUGAUGCAAGAUGAAGACGAACAAGAAGAAAGCAAGAGCCAAGAAAUUUCUCAGAGUAGUGUCAGCUCUGGAAAGAAAGAUGGAUCUGAAGGACUUAAUGUUAGAGAGGAAGAAGAUUCUAAUGAAGGAGAUGAUGACAGUCAUGACAUCAUUGUGGCAGAGGAGAAAAUAAGUCACGGAGAAGCUAAAGAUGAAGACGCGGAUGAAGAAAGCACAGAUGGAGAUGAGGAAGCAGAAUCUGAUGAUGAAGCACAGGGAUGCGAUGAAGAAGGGAGUGAGACAGUGGUGGGAAAGAGAGAUGAGACUGAACCCAGUGAUAGAGAAGAUCCAGAAAGGGAAGGCGUUGUUCCAGAUGACAUUCCAGAUAGUGGAGAUGGAGGAGAAACAACGGAGGAAGAGGAGAGAGAAAAUAGUUUUCAAAAUACAAAGGAGGCUAGAAAGACUCAAGAAACUGUAGAAGAUGAGAGAGAAAUUCACAAAAGCCUCGAGGAGUCUGAAGAGGAAGAGGUUUACAAUCAAGAAGUAGAAGAUGAUGAAGAAGAAGAUGAUGAGGAGGUUGUGGUUGAGAAAUCAUACCCCUGGUCAAGAGACCCUUUUGAUGAUCAUACAAAAUGCCCUGAGGAUGAUGAGGAUGAUAUUGAAGGUCUUCUCAACCCUGUCAACUCCCAAACACAGCAGGAGGAUGAUAUGAAGGAGACAGAGCAAUCAAAUGAUCAACCCUCUGAUUCAGAGGAGGAAAAUCUACCACAGAAGAGUCAUCCUGCAGCCACAAAUGAGAUAGUGGAGUCUGAUGAUGAGUUUGACCACUUCUAUGAUUAAACCAGAAACUAGAACAGAAAGAUGGGAAACAGAAAAAGAAUUGAACAGAAAGAGAAAACCAAUAAAGGAUGAAUAAGCUGGACA